UACGUAGGUCCCGAGCGUUGUCCGGAUUUAUUGGGCGUAAAGCGAGCGCAGGCGGUUAGAUAAGUCAGAAGUUAAAGGCUGUGGCUCAACCAUAGUAUGCUUUUGAAACUGUUUAACUUGAGUGCAGAAGGGGAGAGUGGAAUUCCAUGUGUAGCGGUGGAAUGCGUAGAUAUAUGGAGGAACACCGGUGGCGAAAGCGGCUCUCUGGUCUGUAACUGACGCUGAGGCUCGAAAGCGUGGGGAGCAAACA
rnacentral:rRNA from 1 species